rnacentral:rRNA from 1 species
UCCUGUCAGACGAACGCUGGCGGCGUGCCUAAUACAUGCAAGUCGAACGAACUCUGGUAUUGAUUGGUGCUUGCAUCAUGAUUUACAUUUGAGUGAGUGGCGAACUGGUGAGUAACACGUGGGAAACCUGCCCAGAAGCGGGGGAUAACACCUGGAAACAGAUGCUAAUACCGCAUAACAACUUGGACCGCAUGGUCCGAGUUUGAAAGAUGGCUUCGGCUAUCACUUUUGGAUGGUCCCGCGGCGUAUUAGCUAGAUGGUGGGGUAACGGCUCACCAUGGCAAUGAUACGUAGCCGACCUGAGAGGGUAAUCGGCCACAUUGGGACUGAGACACGGCCCAAACUCCUACGGGAGGCAGCAGUAGGGAAUCUUCCACAAUGGACGAAAGUCUGAUGGAGCAACGCCGCGUGAGUGAAGAAGGGUUUCGGCUCGUAAAACUCUGUUGUUAAAGAAGAACAUAUCUGAGAGUAACUGUUCAGGUAUUGACGGUAUUUAACCAGAAAGCCACGGCUAACUACGUGCCAGCAGCCGCGGUAAUACGUAGGUGGCAAGCGUUGUCCGGAUUUAUUGGGCGUAAAGCGAGCGCAGGCGGUUUUUUAAGUCUGAUGUGAAAGCCUUCGGCUCAACCGAAGAAGUGCAUCGGAAACUGGGAAACUUGAGUGCAGAAGAGGACAGUGGAACUCCAUGUGUAGCGGUGAAAUGCGUAGAUAUAUGGAAGAACACCAGUGGCGAAGGCGGCUGUCUGGUCUGUAACUGACGCUGAGGCUCGAAAGUAUGGGUAGCAAACAGGAUUAGAUACCCUGGUAGUCCAUACCGUAAACGAUGAAUGCUAAGUGUUGGAGGGUUUCCGCCCUUCAGUGCUGCAGCUAACGCAUUAAGCAUUCCGCCUGGGGAGUACGGCCGCAAGGCUGAAACUCAAAGGAAUUGACGGGGGCCCGCACAAGCGGUGGAGCAUGUGGUUUAAUUCGAAGCUACGCGAAGAACCUUACCAGGUCUUGACAUACUAUGCAAAUCUAAGAGAUUAGACGUUCCCUUCGGGGACAUGGAUACAGGUGGUGCAUGGUUGUCGUCAGCUCGUGUCGUGAGAUGUUGGGUUAAGUCCCGCAACGAGCGCAACCCUUAUUAUCAGUUGCCAGCAUUAAGUUGGGCACUCUGGUGAGACUGCCGGUGACAAACCGGAGGAAGGUGGGGAUGACGUCAAAUCAUCAUGCCCCUUAUGACCUGGGCUACACACGUGCUACAAUGGAUGGUACAACGAGUUGCGAACUCGCGAGAGUAAGCUAAUCUCUUAAAGCCAUUCUCAGUUCGGAUUGUAGGCUGCAACUCGCCUACAUGAAGUCGGAAUCGCUAGUAAUCGCGGAUCAGCAUGCCGCGGUGAAUACGUUCCCGGGCCUUGUACACACCGCCCGUCACACCAUGAGAGUUUGUAACACCCAAAGUCGGUGGGGUAACCUUUUAGGAACCAGCCGCCUAAGGUGGGACAGAUGAUUAGGGUGAAG